GCCUAUGGCCACACCACCUGAAUGUGCCAGAUCUCGUCUGAUCUCAGAAGCUAUGCAGGGUUGGGCCUGGUUAGCACCAGGAUGCAAGAGUGAGUGGUCAGUUGGAACCAGGACAGGCC
rfam:Erinaceus europaeus unplaced genomic scaffold scaffold00084, whole genome shotgun sequence